AGUCCCCGCACGUAAUAGUGUAAUAUGAUACAGUGUAUAUAUACGGUGUACCAGAGGCAGAGAAAUUUAAGUUUUUAGGUUUUCGCCCGCAAAGCAUUGGUGGGUAAUAUCGCGCAAAGCAUUGCUGGGUAAUAUCGCAAAACAUUGGAUUUUUUCCACGUGAUCGUGACGGGGUAAUAUAAGUGAAUGUCCACGAAGUUCGGUCUCUUUACUGUCUUUUGUCUUUUGUAAUACAGUUUACUCUCUUGUCUGGUUCUCGAAUAAUUCUGUUGUGGAUCGUGUACUUAUAUUGACAAGACAUCGACAUCAAAAGCAAUCUGAAAGGUUAGUAGUUGUUCAGAUGUGUUCAGAUUAUAUGUAUGUAUAUGUAUUCGCAUUGCAAUUGUUUGAGGUCAAGUAAAUAACCGCAGGCCCAGUGCGAGACACAUUUAAAUAUAUAUUUGCAUUUCUAUAAAUAUUCGCUUUG